rnacentral:tRNA from 1 species
AAGGAUAUAGUUCAGUGGCAGAGUGCAUGCCUAGCAUGCAUGAGGUCUGGGUUCAAUACCCAGUACCUCUA